UGGGGAAUUUUGGACAAUGGGCGAAAGCCUGAUCCAGCAAUGCCGCGUGUGUGAAGAAGGCCUUCGGGUUGUAAAGCACUUUUGUCCGGAAAGAAAUCCUUGGCUCUAAUACAGUCGGGGGAUGACGGUACCGGAAGAAUAAGCACCGGCUAACUACGUGCCAGCAGCCGCGGUAAUACGUAGGGUGCAAGCGUUAAUCGGAAUUACUGGGCGUAAAGCGUGCGCAGGCGGUUUGCUAAGACCGAUGUGAAAUCCCCGGGCUCAACCUGGGAACUGCAUUGGUGACUGGCAGGCUAGAGUAUGGCAGAGGGGGGUUAGAAUUCCACGUGUAGCAGUGAAAUGCGUAGAGAUGUGGAGGAAUACCGAUGGCGAAGGCAGCCCCCUGGGCCAAUACUGACGCUCAUGCACGAAAGCGUGGGGAGCAAACAGGAUUAGAUACCCCUGGUAGUCCACGCCCUAAACGAUGUCAACUAGUUGUUGGGGAUUCAUUUCCUUAGUAACGUAGCUAACGCGUGAAGUUGACCGCCUGGGGAGUACGGUCGCAAGAUUAAAACUUAAAUGAAUUGACGGGGUCAUAGCUGUUUCCU
rnacentral:rRNA from 1 species